CCAAAGUUUUGAGGUGCAGCUCUCUAUCCUCAAUUCCUCCACCCUCCCCUACCUCCUCUCGUGCAGGGACCCUGGUUAGGUGAUGAGAAAACACCAAAGGAAAGCAAGGACAAAGAAGGCACCUGCAGGGCCUACAAGGUCCAUACUGGCCCCCCAUCUGAACCUCCCUCUGUCACCCCGGUCAGCAUCCCCAUUCCAUCAGCCGGGCCCCACAGCCAAGUUUCCUACCACUACUAUCAUUACCCUGGGCUCCCUGACUCACCCUUCUAGAACACGGGUCCCUCCUCUUUUCCGGGCAGGGCCCCCACGAGGGCUCAUUUAGACUACUGCCUUUGCUGCUGACUUGCUCUAUGACUGGCCCACUGCUAGACCUCUCUGGCCCUGAGGAACCAGGGAAAAGCUCCCCACCCACAGGACACACUAGCUCCCUGGCAGGCAAGGGCUUCCAACUGAGGCAGUAUACAAGUGGUGGAGAGAAGUAGGAAGCUGAUAGCCAGCACCUUCUGGGUCUAGGAGAGUGUGUGGGUCCCUCCUUCUGGAGUGUUGGAAGGGAGGAAUUGAGGCCUUAGCUUGCCCCCCCAUCAUCCUUCCCCCUUGUAGAUACUGCCUUAACACUCCCUCUACCCUCAGCCCUGGCUGCCAAUCAGCCAGGUUUCUCCGUGCUCACUAAUUUAUUUCCAGGAAGGUGUGUGGAAGACAUGAGCCGUGUAUAAUAUUUUUUUUAACAUUUCCAUCGCAGUAUUGACCAUCAUCCUUGGUUGUGUAUCGUGUAACACAAAUAAUGAUAUUAAAAGCAUCAAACAAGCCAGCCUCAGCUCCCUACCUGGGUCGUGGGCAAGGGGCAGGUGGGCUGGGAAGGGGAGAGAACUGAUUCUCUGGAUACACAUUUCACUCUGCUUCCACUCAUGGGUUCCCAGGCCAGCCCAGCCCAGCCCAGCCACUGAACUGCUGCAUGACCCUGGACAAGUCACUUGAAUCCUCGGAACCUCCAUUUCUCUUCAUCAAAACCAAGACCCCCAUCAGCACCUACAGUGACUCCUACAGGGCUCCUACCUCUAUCAAGGAGGUCUAUAAAGACCCACCUCUGUGGGCCUGGGAAGCCAACAAGUUUGUGACGCCGGGCCUGACUCAGACCAUGCAGCGCCACGUGGAUCCUGAAGCCCUGCAGAAGAUGGUCAAAUGUGCUGUGCAGGACUACAGCUAUAAGGGUUCUAUACCAGGCCACCCCUACUUUCCUGAGAAAUACUGGCUCUGUCAAGAGGAAGAGAAAUGGAACCCAUACUACCUAUGUGAUGACCGGUAUAACAUAUGGAGGAUGGGGCCUUACAACUGCACUGGCUGGAACAAAUAUACCACAUGCCUUCCCCGGCUACCUAAGGAGGCCGGAAUGGAGACAGCUGUUCGAGGAAUGCCUUUGCAGUGCCCUCCUAAGCCGGAACGACUCAACGCCUACGAGCGUGAGGUGGUGGUGAACAUGUUGAACUCGCUGUCACGCAACCAGCCGCUGCCGCAGAUCACGCCCGGAUGCGGAUGCGUGGACACUCUGCCCGGCCGCCUGUCCUUCCAGGGUUAUGAAAGCCCUUGCUCCGGCCGCCACUACUGUCUUCGUGGGAUGGACUACUACACCACCGGAGCACCCUGCAAGGAACGCCGCUUCCGGCCUUUGUGCACAGAGCAGCGGACUGCAAGGUUCCCAGGGCCGCUCCCGCCUUAAGCAAGCCCCGCCCCCAAGAAGCCGUCCCCCGCCCCCGAGUUCAGCCUUAACCCAGCUGUGCGCGCUCCAUCCCUCACCAGUUCCAGCUCUUCUCUGCCUCUGCGCCAGAUCCUGCCCCGCCUCCCACCGCCUCAAUCCCCUUACUGGGCGCUGUCCUGUCCCGCCCUCCAGCCCCGGGGCCUGAGCUGACCGCUGGGACCGGGACCGGAAAACCCGCACGAAGAUUCCCCCAGGUUCCCGGCCCUGUCCGUCCUGAACUGGGCUCAAGGUCAACCUGGCUCUGGAGGCCCCGCCAGAAAGUUUUUUUUUGCUUGUUUUUUGUUUGGGGGGCUUUUUUUUGAGGAAGAAACCCCACACACCAGUCACAUCCCCUUCCCACACCUGGUUCCCUACGUGGACACCCGGCCCUAGAGACGCAGUUUCUAGCCUGUGGAGUGCCAUGUGUCCUCAAAAAAGAGGCCUCUAUUCUUGGGUCUCAGGUCACCGUCGAUAAUGGGCAGGGUCAUUGCCGUGUGUUAUGUGAGCAAGGAAAUGCUAACCGCAUUACCGGAAGAGUCCUGGCCUUAGAGCCCCGCACCACCUCUUAAGGUAGACAGCCUGGCUCAUUACUGCUAAGGAAACUGAGGCCGGAGCGCUCAGCUGCAACCCAGACUGCCGCGCAACCACCUUCCUGCGCCAGGUGGCAGUCGAGGCGGGCGGAGCCUGGGAGAACUCCAAAGUCCGCGUGGGUCUACAGAGCUUGCGGAGGAAAGAAAGGGGAGGAGGAGGGAGUCCUACAUCCUGCCCCUACCCCACGAUGGGACACAAGUCACUUCAAGAAGACCGGUGGCCCCCAGAGAAACAACUAUGUCGUCCACCCUGAGUUUGUGUCUGAAACCUAUCCUGAC